rnacentral:rRNA from 1 species
UGCAAGUCGAACGGUAACAGGGAUUAGCUUGCUAAUUCGCUGACGAGUGGCGCACGGGUGCGUAACGCGUAUACAAUCUGCCUUCAAGCGGGGGAUAGCCCAUGGAAACGUGGAUUAAUACCCCAUGGUAUUAUGAUUUCACCUGGAAUUAUAAUUAAACAUUUAUGGCUUGAAGAUGAGUAUGCGUCCUAUUAGCUAGAUGGAGUGGUAACGGCACCCCAUGGCAACGAUAGGUAGGGGUCCUGAGAGGGAGAUCCCCCACACUGGUACUGAGACACGGACCAGACUCCUACGGGAGGCAGCAGUGAGGAAUAUUGGACAAUGGAGGCAACUCUGAUCCAGCCAUGCCGCGUGCAGGAAGACUGCCCUAUGGGUUGUAAACUGCUUUUAUACGGGAAGAACCACAUCUACGUGUAGGUGCUUGACGGUACCGUAUGAAUAAGGAUCGGCUAACUCCGUGCCAGCAGCCGCGGUAAUACGGAGGAUCCAAGCGUUAUCCGGAAUCAUUGGGUUUAAAGGGUCCGUAGGCGGGUUUAUAAGUCAGUGGUGAAAGUCUGUCGCUUAACGAUAGAAUUGCCAUUGAUACUGUAGACCUUGAAUUAUUAUGAAGUGGUUGGAAUGAGUAGUGUAGCGGUGAAAUGCAUAGAUAUUACUCAGAACACCUAUUGCGAAGGCAGAUCACUAAUACUAUAUUGACGCUGAUGGACGAAAGCGUAGGUAGCGAACAGGAUUAGAUACCCUGGUAGUCUACGCCGUAAACGAUGGUCACUAGCUGUCCGGCCUAAUUGAGGGCUGGGUGGCCAAGCGAAAGUGAUAAGUGACCCACCUGGGGAGUACGUUCGCAAGAAUGAAACUCAAAGGAAUUGACGGGGGCCCGCACAAGCGGUGGAGCAUGUGGUUUAAUUCGAUGAUACGCGAGGAACCUUACCAGGGCUUAAAUGCAGUCUGACAGGAGUGGAAA